UACGUAGGCAGCAAGCGUUGUUCGGAGUUACUGGGCGUAAAGGGUGCGUAGGCGGUUGUUUAAGUUUGGUGUGAAAUCUCCCGGCUCAACUGGGAGGGUGCGCCGAAUACUGAAUGACUAGAGUGCGGGAGAGGAGAGUGGAAUUCCUGGUGUAGCGGUGAAAUGCGUAGAUAUCAGGAGGAACACCGGUGGUGUAGACGGCUCUCUGGACCGUAACUGACGCUGAGGAGCGAAAGCAUGGGGAGCGAACAGG
rnacentral:rRNA from 1 species